CCUACGGGAGGCAGCAGUGAGGAAUAUUGGUCAAUGGACGAGAGUCUGAACCAGCCAAGUAGCGUGAAGGAUGACUGCCCUAUGGGUUGUAAACUUCUUUUUUAAAGGAAUAAAACGAGGCACGUGUGCCUUUUUGCAUGUACUUUAUGAAUAAGGAUCGGCUAACUCCGUGCCAUCAGCCGCGGUAAUACGGAGGAUCCGAGCGUUAUCCGGAUUUAUUGGGUUUAAAGGGCGCGUAGAUGGGUUGUUAAGUCAGUUGUGAAAGUUUGCGGCUCAACCGUAAGAUUGCAAUUGAUACUGGCAGUCUUGAGUACAGUGGAGGUAGGCGGAAUUCGUGGUGUAGCGGUGAAAUGCUUAGAUAUCACGAAGAACCCCGAUGGCGAAGGCAGCUUACUAAACUGUGACUGACAUUGAUGCUCGAAAGUGUGGGUAUCAAACAGGAUUAGAGACCCCAGUAGUC
rnacentral:rRNA from 1 species